GAAACCCUUGGGUCAUUGAUCUUCGAGCAUAUGUGGAGGGGAUUCUCUCGACGUGCUUUAGGAAGUCUCGACAGUCACGAUAAAUGGCUUUCGAUCCUUCCAACCCUUCUACAAGGAGGUGUCUUCCUCCACUUCUCUUGCUUUGGGUUAAAGCAGCUGGGUUGAGAGAAGUCUCAUGUUGAUCAAUGUUUUGAUGAUUAGCUCGUUCCUCGUCAAGGAUACCCAUGUCGAAGAAAUGUGACCCUCCGUGUUGGGGGGCACCCAGAUGAUGGUUGAUGUCCACAGGGCAACAAGCUCGCG
rnacentral:lncRNA from 1 species